UACGGAGGGGGCAAGCGUUGUUCGGAAUUAUUGGGCGUAAAGGGCGCGUAGGCGGCCGAUCAAGUCGGGGGUGAAAUCCCUCGGCUCAACCGAGGAACUGCACCCGAUACUGCUUGGCUAGAGUCCGGGAGGGGAUGGCGGAAUUCCCAGUGUAGCGGUGAAAUGCGUAGAUAUCUGGAGGAACACCGGUGGCGAAGGCGGCGUUCUGGACUGCAACUGACACUGAGGAACGAAAGCCAGGGGAGCAAACGGG
rnacentral:rRNA from 1 species